rnacentral:rRNA from 1 species
CAAACUGUGUACCGAAGCUGUGGCUUGCUGGAGGUUAGAAGUGAGAAGUUAGAGGUUAGAAGAGUGAGAGGAGUAUCAUGAUGAUAAAAUCGUAUAAAGAUUUGGAAGUAUAUAAAGAGUCAUACUCCUUAACAAUAACUAUAAUGAAGAUGACGCUCAAAUAUCCUGAGCAUGAAAGGUAUGAGUUGGUAAGCCAGAUAAGGCGAGCUGCGAUAUCAAUACCGUUAAAUAUAGCAGAAGGAUAUGGGCGAAAGGAAUCUGUAUCAGAUUUUAAAAGAUUUCUAAAAAUGACAUUAGGUUCGUGUAAUGAAGUUGUGGUGUUAUUGGAUAUGAGCAAAGACUUAGAAUACAUCACAAAUGAAGAACACAAAGAAUUAGUGGAAAGAUAUGAUGUUUUAGGAAAGAGGAUAAAUACACUGAUACAGAGAUGGGAAUAAUCUAACGUCUAACAUCUGACUUCUAACUUCUAGCAGGGGUAGGGGAGCUUACUAUGGUAGGUAGAAGCAUGACCGGAAGGACAUGUGGACGAGAUAGUAGUGAGAAUGCCGGAAUAAGUAGCGAGAGUGAAGUGAGAAUCUUUACCGUCGAAAAUCUAAGGUUUCCUGGGGAAGGUUCGUCCGCCCAGGGUAAGUCGGGACCUAAGCCGAGGCCGAAAGGCGUAGGCGAUGGGGAACAGGUUGAAAUUCCUGUACUACCGCUGCUCGAUUGAGAGAAGUGGGGACGCAGGGGGAUAGGUCAAGCGAGUGACUGGAAGAGCUCGUCCAAGCGGCAAGUAGAGUCCGGUAGGCAAAUCCGCCGGAUGAUUAUGAGCCGUGAUGGGGAGGGAAAAUAUAGUACCGAAGUGACCGAUUUCGCACUGACGAGAAAAGCCACUAUCGAGAGUAGAGGUACCCGUACCGCAAACCGACACAGGUAGAUGAGGAGAGAAUCCUAAGACGAGCGGGAGAAGCGUUGUUAAGGAACUCGGCAAAUUGACCCCGUAAGUUCGCGAGAAGGGGUGCCUGUGAGAGCAGGCCGCAGAGAAUAGGCCCAAGCAACUGUUUAUCAAAAACACAGGUCUCUGCUAAAUCGAAAGAUGAAGUAUAGGGGCUGACGCCUGCCCGGUGCUGGAAGGUUACGGGGAUCUGUUAGCGCAAGCGAAGCAGUGAACUUAAGCCCCAGUAAACGGCGGCCGUAACUAUAACGGUCCUAAGGUAGCGAAAUUCCUUGUCGGGUAAGUUCCGACCCGCACGAAUGGCGUAAUGAUUUGGGCACUGUCUCAACAACGUCCCCGGCGAAAUUGUAGUACUUGUGAAGAUGCAAGUUACCCGCGACAAGACGGAAAGACCCCAUGGAGCUUUACUGUAGCCUGAUACUGGGUUUCGGUAUUCUUUGUACAGGAUAGGUGGGAGAUAGGGAAGUGUGGACGCCAGUCUGCAUGGAAUCGCCGUUGGGAUACCACUCUAAGGGUACUGGGACUCUAACCUGAGGCCAUGAGCUGGUCUAGGGACACUGUCAGGUGGGCAGUUUGACUGGGGCGGUCGCCUCCUAAAAGGUAACGGAGGCGUCCAAAGGUUACCUCAGCGCGGUUGGAAAUCGCGCAUC